rnacentral:tRNA from 1 species
AAUUGUUAUUUUGGCAGAUUAGUGUAUUAAAUUUAGAAUUUAAAAAUGUAUUUUCAUACAAAUAAUAC